UCAGGAUGAACGCUGGCGGCGUGCCUAAUACAUGCAAAGUCGAACGAGGUAGCAAUACCGAGUGGCGAACGGGUGGGUAACACGUAGGUAACCUGCCCUUAAGCUUGGGAUACCCAGAGGAAACUUUGGCUAAUACCGGAUAACAACAGAGAAGGCAUCUCUUUGCUUGAAAGGCCCUUCAAGGGUCACUUAAGGAUGGACCUGCGGCGCAUUAGCUAGUUGGUGAGAUAACAGCCCACCAAGGCGAGGAUGCGUAGCCGAACUGAGAGGUUGAUCGGCCACGUUGGAACUGAGACACGGUCCAAACUCCUACGGGAGGCAGCAGUAAGGAGUUUUCGGCAAUGGGGGAAACCCUGACCGAGCAACGCCGCGUGAGCGAUGACGGUCCUUUGGAUUUGUAAAGCUCUGUUGUAAGCCAUGAAUGACAGCUUGAGGAAAUGCAAGUUGUUUGACGACAGCUUACCAGAAAGCCACGGCUAACUACGUGCCAGCCGCAGC
rnacentral:rRNA from 1 species